rnacentral:rRNA from 1 species
UACGAAGGGGGCUAGCGUUGCUCGGAAUCACUGGGCGUAAAGGGCGCGUAGGCGGCCCUUCAAGUCGGGGGUGAAAGCCUGUGGCUCAACCACAGAAUUGCCUUCGAUACUGUUUGGCUUGAGUUUGGUAGAGGUUGGUGGAACUGCGAGUGUAGAGGUGAAAUUCGUAGAUAUUCGCAAGAACACCAGUGGCGAAGGCGGCCAACUGGACCAACACUGACGCUGAGGCGCGAAAGCGUGGGGAGCAAACAGG